GCACACAUUUCCAUGUUCUUUCUGUCAAACUUGUUUAUUGUGUGUUUAUUAAAAUUUAUAAACAUCAAUAUUAAUAGUUAACAGAAUAUUUAAAUAUUAAAUUAUUUGUUAGAAAUUAAAAAUAUUGAAUCAAAGAAACAAUUGAAAUAUUGUUAUUUUAUUAUUUUGUGGAUAGUUUUUAAUUAUGAGAGUUUAUUAAUUGUUAUUUAAUUAUGUUAAUAAGUGACUUCCUGUCGUGACUGUAGUGGUUAAUUGAAUGCUAAGAAACUUGACAAAGUUUUGAAUUAGUUAUAGAGGAUUUUCAUUGAUAAUUAAUGUGCAUCGUGAAUGACCUGUGCUGUGAUGGAUGAAGUUAUUAUCGCUAGAGGCAAUUGGUUAAAAAUAUCUGAUGUAAUAACAGUUGAUGGAAGCCGAAAAUGUAGUUUUUAUCAUUUCCAACGGAUAUUCAACAACUAAAAAUUAUUUGAAACAGUAAUGAAGAUGGCAGAGGGUUGAUAAAGAAACAUUGAACUCUUGGAGAUGCGGCAGCUGAGAAAAUCUAUUGCCUCGAUCGCCAUCCUCGGGGCUGUUCUAGCGAUGGCGUUAUCAGAGAUGGAAGACGAGAAGCAUUCUGCUGUUGGAGAUGCUGGACAUCGAAAAGAGAUAAGCAACGAGAGUUCUUUAGAGUCUACUUCUCAGAGAUGUGGUAAACAAGAUGGAAUAGAAUCUGAGCAGCAUGAAAAUAAUCAUACCAGAGAAAUAAAAACUGAUCAAUUGAAGAUGUUUGAAAAUCAUGAAUGUAAAAAUAGAACACAACCAUUAUCAACAUUAAAGAAGAAAAACGAUUCCCUGUCAAGGAUUAAAUCCGAUGGGAGUUCAAUGAUUCCAUCUCAAGAGUUCAUGGAGAAUGAUAGGAUUCGAGAUAAUCAGAGUUUAAAGGUAGAAGAUGUAGCAGAAAAUCACACAAAUUUUCUGACUACGAUAGACAGCUAUAAACUUUUAGUUGAUGAAGCAGCGAAAAUAGCAGCAGACGUUUCACAUCUUGAGGGCAGAGAAGCAAGUAAUGAAACAAUUGAAGAUGAAGUUGAUGUCCGUCAUGAAAAGAAACAAGACUUAUCGAUGUUUCCCCGAAGACUAGAGAACCAAUUAGUAGAUCUUGACAGAAUAAGAAAACCUACGUCUUCUUCUGAACUAAUAACUCAAGUACGAAGUGCUAAACACAUAACUUUCUCUACCACCUCAGAGUUUGCUAGAAACUCUUCGUUUGCUCGAGGCUCUAACGACACAACUGGAUUAGAAGACGAAACUCUCGAAUCCCCGCUGGUGGUUUCUCCACCUCAAAUACUUCCAUCAGGUACAAGGUUUUCUACCAAAGAAAAAUCUCCAGAUGGAUUCAUGAUAGAAAGCAAGUUACCAUACCUCAAAAAAGACUAUUCAAAGCCAUCGAUCAACUUGGUGGAUGGUAAAGCAAGUAAAGUUUUCUAUGAGAUUAAACCUUCAUUGAAUACAGCCAUGCAAGAUAGAGACGAUGAUGUUGAUAUUGAAAAAGCUAAUGGCCCGAUGAUAGUAACAACAAGAAGGAGCUUUUUAUCAGCUUUUAAAAUUCCAAGUUUACCCAGUUCUUUUGGAAAAUUUGGGCCUUAUUUUUUGGAUGAUGCUGAUGAUCACAAUAUCACGGAGAGAAUUGGUAGCACAGUAAUGCUCAACUGUAGAAUUGGACUAUUGGGAGAUAAAAAGGUGACCUGGUUGCAGCACGUUAAGGAUUCUAUUCGGCUUCUGACCGUAGGCAACGUGCAAUACAGUGCAGAUGAAAGGAUCAGUUUAAAAUUCCAAUAUCCUGAUAAUUGGAGAUUGCAAAUUGCAUAUGCUACUCUUCGGGAUAGUGGAUUAUACAAGUGCCAAGUUGAAAUUGAUCCGACACAUUCUCUCGUCAAAAAAUACAAUGUCGUUAUCACAGCUCCAAUAUUGAAUAUCACAGAUGACUCUGGUCGAGUAAUAUCCGGUGAAAGGCACCUCAAAGCCGGAAGUGCUCUAAAACUAAGGUGCGAGGGUAGGGAUAUACUCGAAAGCCUGAAUGAGUCUUUGCUCUGGACUAAAGGAGACGAAACCCUCACAUCUAAUGUCAGUGAAAACAGAACGACUAAAAUAGUAGCUGAUAAAGAGAUUCCAGUGAUUGUCAGUACACUGAUAGUGGAAAGAGCUACACCACGGCACGCCGGAAACUACAGUUGCACCGUGCCGGAAAGAGCCAAGACCACCAUAGCUGUUCAUGUUCUGAAUGGGGAACUUCCAGCUGCUGUGCAUCAUGGGAAUGGUGUUUCCAGAGCUGUACUUAAUUUUUGGUUAAUUCAUUUGACUGUGAGUUCUGGAUUUUUUAGAUGACAAUAUUAAGGUUUAUUUAUAAUAUUUAAAAUAUUUAAUUGAAAACAAAACCAACUAUUAGCACGUUUCAAGAAGUGUAAAAUUAAAGAUUAUAUUCUAUUUCACAUUAUUGCCCGACUAUUCGUCAGUUUUACUACUGAUCACAAAAAAUAAACGAUCUUGUGAAGACUAUUGGACUUUCAUCAAAUAAAAUUUUUAUCGGACUUACUAUAAAAUCCGAAAAAUACGCUAAAUUACAAAACUUUUAUGAUGACGAUUAUGUCAAACUAAAAGCUCUCGAUGCCUUGAAAAUGCCAAGAUUUUUCUUACUGCCUCCUUAUUCUUUCUUUCUAAUCCAAGUUUUCGAUGAGUUUUAAGGAUCAGUCCUUUAGUAGUAAUCGAGUUAUAAAAAGCUUGUAUAAAGUUUUCUUGGGGUUAACGCAAGAGCU